rnacentral:rRNA from 1 species
UACGUAGGGUGCAAGCGUUGUCCGGAAUUAUUGGGCGUAAAGGGCUCGUAGGCGGUUUGUCGCGUCGGGAGUGAAAACUCAGGGCUUAACCCUGAGCCUGCUUCCGAUACGGGCAGACUAGAGGUAUGCAGGGGAGAAUGGAAUUCCUGGUGUAGCGGUGAAAUGCGCAGAUAUCAGGAGGAACACCGGUGGCGAAGGCGGUUCUCUGGGCAUUACCUGACGCUGAGGAGCGAAAGCGUGGGGAGCGAACAGG